rnacentral:rRNA from 1 species
GACGAACGCUGGCGGCGUGCUUAACACAUGCAAGUCGAGCGAUGAAGCUUCUUCGGAAGUGGAUUAGCGGCGGACGGGUGAGUAACACGUGGGUAACCUGCCUCAUAGAGGGGAAUAGCCUUCCGAAAGGAAGAUUAAUACCGCAUAAGAUUGCAGUAUCGCAUGAUACAGCAAUUAAAGGAGCAAUCCGCUAUGAGAUGGGACCCGCGUCGCAUUAGCUAGUUGGUGAGGUAACGGCUCACCAAGGCGACGAUGCGUAGCCGACCUGAGAGGGUGAUCGGCCACAUUGGGACUGAGACACGGCCCAGACACCUACGGGUGGCUG